GACGAACGCUGGCGGCGUGCUUAACACAUGCCAGUCGAACGGAAAGGCCCUGCUUUUGUGGGGUGCUCGAGUGGCGAACGGGUGAGUAACACGUGAGUAACCUGCCCUUGACUUUGGGAUAACUUCAGGAAACUGGGGCUAAUACCGGAUAGGAGCUCCUGCUGCAUGGUGGGGGUUGGAAAGUUUCGGCGGUUGGGGAUGGACUCGCGGCUUAUCAGCUUGUUGGUGGGGUAGUGGCUUACCAAGGCUUUGACGGGUAGCCGGCCUGAGAGGGUGACCGGCCGAAUUGGGACUGAGUGAGCGACGAGAGGCCGACGGGAGCAGGCAGGGGGGAGUAGGGCGAAAUGGGGGGAAGCCUAAUGCAGCUACGCCGCGGGCGGGAGGGUGGGUGUCGGGAGGGGACAAGGAUGCACCUGUGAAGAAGGGUGAAGGACGGGAGUGGGUAAAGAAGAAACGGCUAGCUAGGUC
rnacentral:rRNA from 1 species